rnacentral:rRNA from 1 species
AUUGAACGCUGGCGGAAUGCUUUACACAUGCAAGUCGAGCGGCAGCGCGGGGCAACCUGGCGGCGAGCGGCGAACGGGUGAGUAACAUAUCGGAACAUACCCAGUCGUGGGGGAUAACACAGCGAAAGUUGUGCUAAUACCGCAUACGUCCUGAGGGAGAAAGCGGGGGAUCGCAAGACCUCGCGCGAUUGGAGUGGCCGAUAUCGGAUUAGCUAGUUGGUGAGGUAAAGGCUCACCAAGGCGACGAUCCGUAGCUGGUCUGAGAGGACGACCAGCCACACUGGAACUGAGACACGGUCCAGACUCCUACGGAGGCAGCAGUGGGGAAUUUUGGGACAAUGGGCGCAAGCCUGAUCCAGCCAUUCCGCGUGAGUGAAGAAGGCC